AUAACGACUAAGCGUAGUUAAGUAAUUUCAGCGGUGAUUUUAAGAAAGCCUCAGGUUGAUGAGAUGAGGUAAUCAUGCUGAUAUGAAAAUCCUCUACAAGUUUCAGGUAUGAAUCAAUUAAUAUCUGAUGGGAUUGCCCAUUACAGCAAACGAGUAUCGUCAAAUUUUUGGCCGUACUCUGAGAGCCGAUUACUAGUAAUUGGAAAUAUGGGUGGUAACACGCGGAAGCGUCCCUAAC
rnacentral:ncRNA from 1 species